UCCCAGGUGGCUCAGAGGGUAAAGAGUCUGCCUGCAAUGCAGAAGACCUAGGUUCCAUCUCUGGGUUGGGAU
rnacentral:tRNA from 1 species